AAGUCGUAACAAGGUUUCCGUAGGUGAACCUGCGGAAGGAUCAUUAACGUAUAACAAACAAGUCCGCGACCGGCCGUCAAACGCCGGGCGCGGCAUCCAACCCAACCACCGUGUGAAACGUCUUGUCCUUUGGACUCGAGCGCAAGCUCCAGUCCAAGUAACUUUGAACCAUGUACUCUUAUAAUAUUGAUGAUACUUUUAAACAAGAAAAUCUAUACAACUUUUAACAAUGGAUCUCUUGGCUCCCA
rnacentral:misc_RNA from 1 species